rnacentral:tRNA from 1 species
GGAGAGGUGGUCGAGUGGUUGAAGGCACCCGCCUCGAAAGCGGGCGUACGUUGAUAGCGUACCGUGAGUUCGAAUCUCACCCUCUCCGCCA